GACUCGCUACUUCAGGGGCUGGACCGCAUCCACAACUUGGAAGAAAUUGUAGCCCACACCAGGAGGCACUGUCAAGAAGGACAAAGCAAGUUGCAAAAUUUGCUAACUUCAAUGGAAAAAGGUUCCUUAGGCAUUG
rnacentral:ribozyme from 1 species